GCACGGUUGGCCGAGUGGUCUAAGGCGCCAGACUCAAGCAUUAACUUGCCGCGAGUUAGCGGAUUGGGCGCUCUGGUACCCGUACGGGUGCGUGGGUUCGAGUUCCACUCCGUGCA
rnacentral:tRNA from 1 species